AGAGUUUGAUCCUGGCUCAGGAUGAACGCUAGCUACAGGCUUAACACAUGCAAGUCGAGGGGCAGCAUGGCGGUUGCUUGCAACCGCCGAUGGCGACCGGCGCACGGGUGAGUAACGCGUAUCCAACCUGGCCGUUGCCACGGCACAGCCCGCCGAAAGGCGGAUUAAUGCGGUAUGAGGCGCUUCGAUGGCAUCAGAAGAGCGCCAAAGCUUCGGCGGCAGCGGAUGGGGAUGCGUCCGAUUAGGCAGCAGGCGGGGCAACGGCCCACCUGGCCGACGAUCGGUAGGGGUCCUGAGAGGGAGGCCCCCCACACUGGGACUGAGACACGGCCCAGACUCCUACGGGAGGCAGCAGUGAGGAAUAUUGGUCAAUGGGCGGAAGCCUGAACCAGCCAAGUAGCGUGCGGGACGACGGCCCUAUGGGUUGUAAACCGCUUUUUCACGGGGAUAAAGUGCGCCACGCGUGGCGCUUUGCAGGUACCGUGCGAAUAAGGACCGGCUAAUUCCGUGCCAGCAGCCGCGGUAAUACGGAAGGUCCGGGCGUUAUCCGGAAUCAUUGGGUUUAAAGGGAGCGUAGGCCGCAUGUCAAGCGUGCUGUGAAAUCCCGGGGCUCAACCCCGGAAGCGCAGCGCGAACUGGCGUGCUUGAGUUGCAUCGAGGCAGGCGGAAUUCGUGGUGUAGCGGUGAAAUGCUUAGAUAUCACGAAGAACCCCGAUUGCGAAGGCAGCCUGCCAGUUGCACACUGACGCUGAUGCUCGAAGGCGCGGGUAUCGAACAGGAUUAGAUACCCUGGUAGUCCGCGCGGUAAACGAUGGAUGCCCGCCCUUGGGCCUUUUUGGUUCAGGGGCCAAGCGAAAGCGUUAAGCAUCCCACCUGGGGAGUACGCCGGCAACGGUGAAACUCAAAGGAAUUGACGGGGGCCCG
rnacentral:rRNA from 1 species